AUUGAACGCUGGCGGCAGGCCUAACACAUGCAAGUCGAGCGGAGCGGCGGACGGGUGAGUAAUGCCUAGGUAUCUGCCUGGUAGUGGGGGAUAACGUUCGGAAAUGGGCGCUAAUACCGAAUACUAUCAGAAGAGCCUAGUGUGGAUUUGCUAGUUGGUGGGGUGAAGGCCUACCUAUGCGACGAUCCGUAACUGGUCUGAGAGGAUGAGCAGUCACACUGGAACUGAGACACGGUCCAGACUCCUACGGGAGGCAGCAGUGGGGAAUAUUGGACAAUGGGCGAAAGCCUGAUCCAGCCAUGCCGCGUGUGUGAAGAAGGUCUUCGGAUUGUAAAGCACUUUAAGUUGGGAGGCGUUACCAACAGAAUAAGCACCGGCUAACUUCGUGCCAGCAGCCGCGGUAAUAC
rnacentral:rRNA from 1 species